rnacentral:piRNA from 1 species
UGCUAGUUAGAGAUUGAGGACAUUAUGUAGC